rnacentral:lncRNA from 1 species
AGAAAUUUGUCUUUUUCACCAGUGGUGGAUCAAAAGCUUUGGACACCCAACCAUAUUGUCAAUUGUGCAUUAAGUAUGGCCUAGUAUUUUAGAAAAUUGAUUUCUUACAAAUUUGCAACAAAUAUAUGGUAGGUCCUUCACAAAAAAACUCAUUUUGGGCACUCGGAAAAUGGAAAAUGAUUUUUUCGUCCAAAGAAAAUGAAAACUUCCUUAGGCAACAUUAUUUGCCAUUCCAAUAUGCAACCUUGUGCGCAAUAUGAGAUCAUUUGAACAGAGUAUGCCAUGAAUGUGGCCAUAAGAUUGAUCAUUUGGCUUGAAAGCCAUUGAUCUCCACACAUGAUAACUCAUUUUCGAGAACACUUUUUAAAAUAAUUAUCAUAUUACAAGUUUAUUAUUUUUCCUGGUAACUUGGCCACAUAUAAUGACACAAUGCGAAUGUUUUCCAAUUUUUUGAUUUUUUUUUAAAUUUUUUUCGCCCGUUUCGACAUGCGGUCAAAAUGGCGGGCUUGACCGUUCCUAGCUAGUGGUUGAAUCUUGGAAAAAAUUUUGUGUUUCUCUCAUUAAAUAGAUACUUUUGUACCUAGAAAUGAUUUUUGGAAAAAAUAAAGAGCAAACUAUGAGGCAGUUGUAGUUCAAUUUUGACCCGCUUCCAACUGAAUCGGCAGCAAUUUGUCUUUUUCACGAGAGGUGGAUAAAAGUUUUUGACACCCAACCAUUUGGUCAAUUGUGCAUUAAAUAUGGCCUAGUAUUUUAUAAAAUUGAUUUGGUCCAAAUUUGCAACAAAUAUAUGGUAGGUCCUUCACAAAAAAAAACUCAUUUUAGGCACUCGAAAAAUGGAAAAUGAUUUUUUGUCCAAAGAAAAUGAAAACUUCCUUAGGCAACAUUGUUUGACAUUCCAAUAUGCACCCUUGUGCACAAUAUGAGAUCAUUUGAACAAACUAUGCCAUGAAUGUUGCCAUAAGAUUGAUCAUUUGGCUAGAAAGCCAUUGAUCUCCACACAUGAUAGCUCGUUUCUGAGAACACUUUUUUAAAAUAAUUAUCGUAUUACAAGUUUAUUAUUUUUCCUGGUAACUUGGCCACAUAUAAUGACAUAAUACGAAGGUUUUCCAAUUUUUGAUUUUUUUGAAUUUUGUAUGCCUAUUUCAAAAUGCGGUCAAAACGGCGGCUUGACCGUUCCUAGCUAGUGGUUGAAUCUUGGAAAACUUUUGGUGUUUCUAUGAUUAAAUAUAUACUUAUGUACCUAGAAAUGAUUUUUGAAAACAAUAAAGAGCAAACUAUGAGGCAGCUGUAGUUCAAUUUUGACCCGCUUCUAGCUGAAUCGGCAGAAAUUCGUCUUUUUCCCCAGAGGUGGGUCAAAGCUUUUGACACCCAACUAUUUGGUCAAUUGUGCAUUAAAUAUAUUCUAAUAUUUUAUAAAAUUGAUUUGAUCCAAUUUUGCAAUAAAUAUAUGGUAGAUCCUUCACAAAAAAAACUCAUUUUGGGCAUUCAAAAAAUGGAAAAUGAAUUUUUCGUCCAAAGAAAAUGAAAACUCCCUUAGGCAACAUUGUUUGCCAUUUCAAGAUGCACCCUUGUGCACAAUAUGAGAUCGUUUGAACAAACUAUGCCAUGAAUGUGGCCAUAAGAUUGAUCAUUUGGCCAUAAGAUUGAUCAUCUAGAGGAUGAAGACGACUCGGGGAGAAGAUAAG